CAAAACGUAAUACUGGACCUGUACACACCAUAACAAAGCUUUUAUUUCGGACAAGAAUAUGACACUGUUACUGAAUGUGGCGAAAAGUGUCCCUAAGGCAGCGUUUUACAAAAGUCUCGUUCGUUAUCCGAGCUCUUUGGCAGACAGCGGCCUGAAAGCCGAAGGAGAAGGGCCGCUGGUGAUAGUCGGGUCAAGCCGGGAUCUGGUGCACAGAGUCGGGACACAGGUGGAGGUUAGGACAGACUUCAUCACCGAGCACGAGGAGGCUGAACUUCUGCGGGAGCUGGAACCUGGUUUGAAGAAGAAACGUUACGAAUUUGAUCACUGGGAUGACGCUAUUCAUGGAUACAGAGAAACCGAACGUGUGAUGUGGGGGGCAGCGUGUCAGACCAUCAUAGCCCGUGUCAGAUCUGUCGCGUUUGCCUCUGGAAGCUCACUUCUUGGGCCCGUCCACGUCCUCGAUCUGGACAAAGCCGGCUAUAUCAAGCCUCACAUUGACAGUGUCAAGUUCUGUGGCAGCACCAUUACCGGGUUGAGUCUUCUUUCAGAUAGCGUCAUGCGCUUAGUCAAAAAUGAUGCUCCAAGUGAGUGGCUAGACAUGCUGCUGCCUCGACGCUCGCUCUACAUUCUAAGGGACCGGGCCAGAUACGACUUCACUCACGAGAUCUUAAAAGAUGAGGAGUCUUUGUUUAAUGGACAGAGAGUGCCUCGACAGCGACGCAUCGCUGUUAUUUGUCGGAACCUUCCGGCUUAAAAUGCACUUCAGCUCAGAUGGGAUAUGAAUUCUACCUGAGCUCCAAAGACAAUAUCAUUUCUAAGAUAUUUGUAACACAUCCCAACUGGUCAUGCUUGAAGUCACCUUGCUCUAGCUUGCUGGCAGCAGCGCGAAGUGUGUUGGAGGUUGCGGCGGAGUCUAUCGAUGGCGUUCCCGGCCGGCUGCCAGUUCUGGAGCUCCCGGCAGAGCCGCGUCCACCCCCGCGCUUAGGAGGAGUGCGCUUCUUCUACAAAGGAGGAGGGACAAGAAGAUUCAUUGUGGGUACACGUAUUCUCUUCAAUAUUUAGUUUGUUUUUUUUUUUUGCAGUCAUGUUUCAUCCAACUGACAAUCUAUAUUUUGAAG